rnacentral:rRNA from 1 species
UAGUGAGUUUGAUCCUGGCUCAGAUUGAACGCUGGCGGUCUGCUUUACACAUGCAAGUCGAACGGCAGCGCGGGGCAACCUGGCGGCGAGUGGCGAACGGGUGAGUAAUAUAUCGGAACGUACCCAAGAGUGGGGGAUAACGUAGCGAAAGUUACGCUAAUACCGCAUACGAUCUAUGGAUGAAAGUGGGGGAUCGCAAGACCUCAUGCUCCUGGAGCGGCCGAUAUCUGAUUAGCUAGUUGGUGAGGUAAAGGCUCACCAAGGCCACGAUCAGUAGCUGGUCUGAGAGGACGACCAGCCACACUGGAACUGAGACACGGUCCAGACUCCGUACGGGGAGCAGCAGUGGGGAAUUUCCGCAAUGGGGCGAAAGCCCUGACGGAGCAAGACCGCGUGA